UGAAAAAACAACGCCCUUAACCAUCCCUCGCGCCGUAUUUCACUAACGUUUGCUCGGCUUAAAACGAUCAGCAAAAUCCGACUCUGAUUUGAGCCCCUGCUUUCCUUAAUUUUUAGUCUGGCCCCAAAAUUGUAGGCCAUUAAAACAUUCAGCCCCCGCCAGCAACAGGGGUAAUGAACUCCUCUUAUAUUAAUAAGGUACCCGGGCGAGUACAAGCCGGAAAACAUUACUCCCCCUCUACCUAAAAAAGAUACGAUGGUGCUAAACGCUGGCAACUGAUCACCAGAAAAAAAGGAAUUAAAAAAACAACGAAAAAGACCAGGGAGAAACACGGCCCUGCUGGCAGAGCUAUCGAUCUGUAGCUUUCUCCCCAAGCUGUGGCUCGAACGCAUAGACGCGUGAGAGAAAGAGAGCGAGCGAGAGAUGGACGGAGAGAGAGAGUGAGAGAGAGAGAGACAGAGAGAGAGAGAGAGAGAGACAGAGACAGAGAGUGUGUGUAUGUGCGUGUUUCGGCUAUGCUGUUCAAUCUGAGAUGCCGUUGGAGUUAGUGAGGGUGUCAGUCUGUGAGCAGAUGGUACUUCUUUUUAAACCGCUCGCCGCUACUUCAGGCACGUGUAGAAAAGUUGGUCAAAAAGGAAAGAACUGUCAAGACUCGCUGGGUCUCCGAGCGGGAACAUCCUCCGCGACCUGGAUCCGGAAAUUACCCAGCGAGCCGACCGCGGACAGGAUUUCUCUGCGAUAUUCUAUCGACCUGCCUCUCUGACCAACUCUAAUUAAAGUGCUCACCAGUGAAUGCAUAGUGCGUGUGGCAUUUAUUUCUAUCUCUGGAAUCGACAUCUUUUGUCCUUCAUUAUUCAGAUCUAGGCUUGGGGGUUCUUAAUAAUACUAUCUUCACCAAGUGUGCUCUAAAAACAAGAAUAUUGCU